rnacentral:rRNA from 1 species
AGAGUUUGAUCCUGGCUCAGGACGAACGCUGGCGGCGUGCUUAACACAUGCAAGUCGAGCGAGCCCUACCUUUCGGGGUGGUGUGCUAGCGGCGAACGGGUGAGUAACACGUGGGCAACCUGCCCUCAGCUCUGGGAUAACUCCAAGAAAUUGGGGCUAAUACCGGAUAUGACUGCUGACCGCAUGGUCUGGUGGUGGAAAGAUUUAUCGGCUGGGGAUGGGCCCGCGGCCUAUCAGCUUGUUGGUGGGGUAGUGGCCUACCAAGGCGACGACGGGUAGCCGGCCUGAGAGGGUGACCGGCCACACUGGGACUGAGACACGGCCCAGACUCCUACGGGAGGCAGCAGUGGGGAAUAUUGCGCAAUGGGCGGAAGCCUGACGCAGCGACGCCGCGUGGGGGAUGACGGCCUUCGGGUUGUAAACCUCUUUCACCCACGACGAAGCGAAAGUGACGGUAGUGGGAGAAGAAGCACCGGCCAACUACGUGCCAGCAGCCGCGGUAAUACGUAGGGUGCAAGCGUUGUCCGGAAUUAUUGGGCGUAAAGAGCUCGUAGGCGGUUUGUUGCGUCGGCUGUGAAAUCCCGAGGCUCAACCUCGGGUCUGCAGUCGAUACGAGCAAACUAGAGUGUUGCAGGGGAGACUGGAAUUCCUGGUGUAGCGGUGAAAUGCGCAGAUAUCAGGAGGAACACCGGUGGCGAAGGCGGGUCUCUGGGCAACAACUGACGCUGAGGAGCGAAAGCGUGGGGAGCGAACAGGAUUAGAUACCCUAGUAGUCC